rnacentral:lncRNA from 1 species
GCUAGGUGAUAUCACGAAUGUUCGUCAACCUAAUCGUGUGAUCUCGGGUACAUCAUUUACUCACUGUUUAAUGAUUUUCAUGCGUGGAGUCUCCUUGUUAUUACCUCAUAUAUUACUGACCUAUCCGGUUGAAGCCGAUAACUUGAAUGUCACUAAAGAGAAUGCGGCAAUAACGGAAGAAGCACGCAAAAGAGAACAUAGAAACGCACUGAGGAGAGCUUCUUAUCGGAGGAAAAAGGAACGGGGUCUCCAAGAAGAUAAACUCCGGACCCAUGCGCAGCCUGGUAAAUCCUAAUGACCUUUCAAUCAUCAUUUUUAUCUUUAUAUAAUUUGGUGUGUAAUUUCCUAACCAUGUAGUAACAGAGAACCUUCCUAGC